AUUCUUUUCAUUUUUUUUCUGAUUUUUGAAUUGUUUCUUGGUCGUUUUUGCCAUUUAGUUAUCUGUUAUAUUAAAUAAAAUUUCAUUUUAAUAUAGUGGUUACACUUUCUUUCAGAAAUAAAUCAUUUGAAAGAGAUCACAAAGUGCACCUUCUGCUUGAGGAGAUAGGUCAUUCCAAGAACUAGGUUCCCAAUUUUUUUAGGUAAAUACCAUCAUCAAUUACUUCAUAUUUCAGAGAUACGUCCAGCUUGUUUUUUCAACAAACUGCAUGACUAUUCAGAUUGUGAACAACAGUCCACUGACAAGUGAGCAAAAACACUUGCGCCAACGUAAGAGCUUCUUACAAGUGUCACAUGAGGUGAAAAAGGAGGAUAUAAUAUGGCAUCUCGCUUAUUAAGAUUGAGGGCAGUGGUUCUACACAAUCUGAUCUUUUAUUUUGUCACAUAUUAGUAACUGUUGAUAAAUUAGCAACAUUAAUUCACUCAUUACACUCUUGAGUUUUAAUUACAAACUGAUGAAUCACUUUUAUUUCACGAUUAAUUAUUUUGUGGGGGAAUCAAUUGUAGGUGGCCCUACUAUUGCAUAUUUAAUUGUAGGUGGCACUAAUAUUGCAUAGUUGUUGCUAUUGUGCCUCUAGUUUCACCAAGUUAACCUCCCAAUGGGGAUCCGCUUCCUCCUUCAGAC